rnacentral:rRNA from 1 species
UACGUAGGGUGCGAGCGUUGUCCGGAAUUAUUGGGCGUAAAGGGCUCGUAGGCGGUUUGUCGCGUCGGGAGUGAAAUCAUCUGGCUUAACUGGGUGCUUGCUUUCGAUACGGGCAGACUAGAGGUAUGCAGGGGAGAACGGAAUUCCUGGUGUAGCGGUGAAAUGCGCAGAUAUCAGGAGGAACACCGGUGGCGAAGGCGGGUCUCUGGGCAGUAACUGACGCUGAGGAGCGAAAGCGUGGGGAGCGAACAGG